rnacentral:sRNA from 1 species
UGUUUAACAGGUCGGCUUUACGAGCU